rnacentral:rRNA from 1 species
AAUUAGUGGCAGACGGGUGAGUAAUGCAUAGGAAUCUACCUAGUAGUAUGGGAUAGCCACUAGAAAUGGUGGGUAAUACUGUAUAAUCCCUGCGGGGGAAAGAUUUAUCGCUAUUAGAUGAGCCUAUGUUAGAUUAGCUAGUUGGUAGGGUAAAGGCCUACCAAGUCAGUGAUCUAUAGCUGGUCUGAGAGGAUGAUCAGCCACACUGGAACUGAGAUACGGUCCAGACUCCUACGGGAGGCAGCAGUGGGGAAUAUUGGACAAUGGGCGCAAGCCUGAUCCAGCUAUGCCGCGUGAGUGAGGAAGGCCUUAGGGUUGUAAAGACUC